rnacentral:rRNA from 1 species
CACGUAGGAGGCGAGCGUUGUCCGGAAUCAUUGGGCGUAAAGAGCGCGCAGGCGGUCGAUCAAGUCGCGUGUGAAAGCCCCCGGCUCAACUGGGGAGGGUCACGCGAUACUGAUCGACUCGAAGGCAGGAGAGGGUAGUGGAAUUCCCGGUGUAGUGGUGAAAUGCGUAGAUAUCGGGAGGAACACCAGUGGCGAAGGCGACUACCUGGCCUGUUCUUGACGCUGAGGCGCGAAAGCUAGGGGAGCAAACGGG